rnacentral:rRNA from 1 species
AGUGAACGCUGGCGGUAGGCCUAACACAUGCAAGUCGAACGGCAGCACAGUAAGAGCUUGCUCUUACGGGUGGCGAGUGGCGGACGGGUGAGGAAUACAUCGGAAUCUACUUUUUCGUGGGGGAUAACGUAGGGAAACUUACGCUAAUACCGCAUACGACCUACGGGUGAAAGCAGGGGAUCUUCGGACCUUGCGCGAUUGAAUGAGCCGAUGUCGGAUUAGCUAGUUGGCGGGGUAAAGGCCCACCAAGGCGACGAUCCGUAGCUGGUCUGAGAGGAUGAUCAGCCACACGGGAACUGAGACACGGUCCAGACUCCUACGGGAGGCAGCAGUGGGGAAUAUUGGACAAUGGGCGAAAGCCUGAUACAGCCAUACCGCGUGGGUGAAGAAGGCCUUCGGGUUGUAAAGCCCUUUUGUUGGGAAAGAAAAGCAGCAGGUUAAUACCCCGCUGUUCUGACGGUACCCAAAGAAUAAGCACCGGCUAACUUCGUG